UAUGAUUAUAUGCUUAACCAUGUGGAGAGUUCCAUAUAAAAACCAUCAUCAUACUGUUUUGUCUUUCUUAAAUUUAGGUUGUUAAAGGCCUUACCUAUUUGUGGAGUUUAAAGAUUUUACAUAGAGAUGUGAAGCCCUCCAAUAUGCUAGUAAACACAAGCGGACAGGUCAAGCUGUGUGAUUUUGGAGUUAGCACUCAGCUGGUGAAUUCUAUAGCCAAGACGUAUGUUGGAACAAAUGCUUAUAUGGCGCCUGAAAGAAUUUCAGGGGAGCAGUAUGGAAUCCAUUCUGACGUCUGGAGCUUAGGAAUCUCUUUCAUGGAGCUUGCUCUUGGGAGGUUUCCAUAUCCUCAGAUUCAGAAAAACCAGGGAUCUUUAAUGCCUCUCCAGCUUCUGCAGUGCAUUGUUGAUGAGACUUUCAAUUUUGACAUCAUUUUAGAUUCGCAUGCAGAUCUAAGAAAUAAUAUGGAGAGAUCCUGUAUACCCUUCACCCAGUUUCCCCCAGUGGUAACAGCUCGUAAGUAUAGUACAAUCUCACAACCAGGAAGUUGAAAUUGAUACAAUCCUUUGAAUUUAUUCAGAUUCUACCAGUUUUACAUGCACUCCUGUGUAUGUGUGAACAUUAAUGACAUGGAUCCUUUCAAAGCCAAGAAACAUGGCCUCCAAAAAAACACAAGUAUUUAAAAUAAUGAUCUCCCUUUUAAGUAAGUCAUUUCAAAAGCAUUUUUCUCAUAUGUUUUCUGUGUUUGGAGUAUCCACCUGACCUGCCUGCUCUCAGGAUCACAGAGUGUACUUACUGGCAAACUUACUCUGCGAGUGAGCCAGCAGCGGCUGUGGUUGGACUUGGACCUCCUCCUCCCACCUCCUCUCCACCUCUUUGAGUGUGCAGGAUUCGCCUGUCCUUCCGGUUGGAGAGUUCUCCGAGCCAUUUGUACAUUUCAUCACUCAGUGCAUGCGAAAACAGCCAAAAGAAAGGCCAGCUCCUGAGGAAUUGAUGGGCCACCCGUUCAUCGUGCAGUUCAAUGACGG